GACGAACGCUGGCGGCGUGCUUAACACAUGCAAGUCGAACGAAGAGCGAUGGAAGCUUGCUUCUAUCAAUCUUAGUGGCGAACGGGUGAGUAACGCGUAAUCAACCUGCCCUUCAGAGGGGGACAACAGUUGGAAACGACUGCUAAUACCGCAUACGAUCUAAUCUCGGCAUCGAGGAUAGAUGAAAGGUGGCCUCUACAUGUAAGCUAUCACUGAAGGAGGGGAUUGCGUCUGAUUAACUAGUUGGAGGGGUAACGGCCCACCAAGGCGAUGAUCAGUAGCCGGUCUGAGAGGAUGAACGGCCACAUUGGGACUGAGACACGGCCCAGACUCCUACGGGAGGCAGCAGUGGGGAAUCUUCCGCAAUGGACGAAAGUCUGACGGAGCAACGCCCGCGUGAGUGAUGACGGGCCUUUCGGGGUUGUAAAAGCUUCUGUUAAUCGGG
rnacentral:rRNA from 1 species